rnacentral:rRNA from 1 species
UACAUGAAGCUGGAAUCGCUAGUAAUCGCAGAUCAGAAUGCUGCGGUGAAUACGUUCCCGGGUCUUGUACACACCGCCCGUCACACCAUGGGAGUUGGAAAUGCCCGAAGCCAGUGACCCAACCGUAAGGAGGGAGCUGUCGAAGGUGGAGCCGAUGACUGGGGUGAAGUCGUAACAAGGUAUC